GAGACCAGGUGCCAGUGGUUCCUGCGCUUGGUGCCGAGCGCGAUGUAGCUGGCGAACUUGGUGGCCGCGUGCAGGACCAUGUCGUGCACGACAGCCAAGAUAGAAAUAUUACAGGCAGUCAGAUGGGGCGAGUCGCUGGACUGCAGCAGAUGAGAACACACCAGGACUGAAGAAGAUUAAAGUCACAGUGGCCACAUUUACGAACUUCCCGAAGGGAUGAAGGGACGCUUGAGAUUAUUGGUACAGCCUUUUGAGGUCUCCCAUAGAAAGAAACUUGAUAGGGGAGCCGAGUUGCUGGGUGACGGCGCCCCCGUGUUGAACAUGUUACAUCCCCCGUUUUCCGCAGUGGCCGUGCCAUUUCCCAUCCCCACCGGUGACGUAUGUGGUAUGAUCGGGCCAAGACCCACACAGAAACGACCAGACCUUCUGACACGAGAGGAGUCUUUAUUGGGGGAAGCGACGUGGCGGGCUGCCCAGCAGACUAGGACAGCCCUGAUCUGAGCAAAGCAUGGGGUUUUUAAGCCGUCUUUUGGGGAGGGUGUCUCUAAGCCAGAACAUUUUCUGGGAGCGGGUGUCCGUGGGUCAGAACAACCCGAGCAGGGUGGGUUGUUUGUAAGAGUUGAACGUCUGGUUCUGCCAAGGCGGAUGAGGGCGAGAUUGGCUUUUGUUGAGGGGACCUAGAGGGGAACAGGUGAAGAGGAAGUUUUUAUUAACUCCUUAAUAAAAGAGCUUAAAUCUC